rnacentral:rRNA from 1 species
AUUGAACGCUGGCGGCAGGCCUAACACAUGCAAGUCGAGCGGAGUGGCGGACGGGUGCGUAUUGCUUAGGAAUCUGCCUGGUAGUGGGGGAUAACGUCCGGAAACGGGAGCCAAUACCGCAUACUAUCAGUUGAGCCUAGGUCGGAUUAGCUAGUUGGUGGGGUAAAGGCCAACCAAGGCGACGAUCCGUAACUGGUCUGAGAGGAGAACCAGCCACCCUGGGACUGAGACACGGCCCAGACUCCUCCGGUAGGCAGCGUUGGGGAAUCUUCGACAAUGACGGAAAGCCUGAUCCAGCCAUGCCGCGUGUGUGAAGAAUGUGUUCGGAUUUUAACGCACUUUAGGUUGAGAGGCGGUACCAACAGAAUAAGCACCGGCUAACUUCGUGCCAGCAGCCGCGGUAAUAC